rnacentral:rRNA from 1 species
GAUGAACGCUGGCGGCGUGCCUAAUACAUGCAAGUCGAGCGAACAGACGAGGAGCUUGCUCCUCUGACGUUAGCGGCGGACGGGUGAGUAACACGUGGAUAACCUACCUAUAAGUCUGGGAUCACUUCGGGAAACCGGAGCUAAUACCGGAUAAUAUAUUGAACCGCAUGGUUCAAUAGUGAAAGACGGUGUUGCUGUCACUUAUAGAUGGAUCCGCGCCGCAUUAGCUAGUUGGUAAGGUAACGGCUUACCAAGGCGACGAUGCGUAGCCGACCUGAGAGAGUGGUCGGCCACCCUGGAGCUGAGACACGGUCCAGACUCCUACGGGAGGCAGCAGUAGGGAAUCUUCCGCAAUGGGCGAAAGCCUGACGGAGCAACGCCGCGUGAGUGAUGAAGGUCUUCGGAUCGUAAAACUCUGUUAUUAGGGAAGAACAAAUGUGUAAUUAACUAUGCACUUCGUGACGGUACCGAGUCAGAAAGCAACGGCUAACUACGUG